rnacentral:rRNA from 1 species
AGCGAACGCUGGCGGCAGGCUUAACACACGCAAGUCGAGCGGGCAUCCUUGUGGUGUCAGCGGCAGACGGGUGAGUAACGCGUGGGAACGUGCCCUUCGGUUCGGAAUAACUCAGGGAAACUUGAGCUAAUACCGGAUACGUGCGAGAGCAGAAAGGUUUAUCUGCCGAAGGAUCGGCCCGCGUCUGAUUAGCUAGUUGGUGAGGUUACGGCUCACCAAGGCGACGAUCAGUAGCUGGUCUGAGAGGAUGAUCAGCCACACUGGGACUGAGACACGGCCCAGACUCCUACGGGAGGCAGCAGUGGGGAAUAUUGGACAAUGGGGGCAACCCUGAUCCAGCCAUGCCGCGUGAGUGAUGACGGCCUUAGGGUUGUAAAGCUCUUUUCUCCGGGACGAUAAUGACGGUACCGGAGGAAUAAGCCCCGGCUAACUUCGUG